rnacentral:rRNA from 1 species
UGUUACAACAAAUUGAAUGCAUCUGAUCUUGUCUGAUUUCCGAAGGCAAACAGUUUUGUGCCCUGCUAAUACUUGGAUAAGAAACCACUUGUGAAACUAGGUGUCAUAG